rnacentral:lncRNA from 1 species
UGACUGAAUCCCACAUCUGGAGAUCCUGCCACCUGUAAACACAGCCUUUGAUCAGCAGGGCCUCUGCUAGAUCUGGUUCCACCUCCUGCAGUGAUGACAUCUCUAAACCCACAUCUAGAAUUAUUUGGCACUUUAGAUCCACAUAGUCUCAUACAACAAUCCGCAUCCUAAAAGAAAAUGUGACAAUUUUCCUUCCAAGAAUAAUGGCAUGCAAAUAAACUACAGAAAGUUUUAAAUGAGAAGACUUUAGAGACCGGUAAGAGGGUGAAUGGGAUGAUCAAGCUGGAAUUUUAAAAACCAGUGGACUGUUCUGUGAUGCAGAUGUCUUGUGUCCACGGAUCAUGAUGUCCUAUGAUGGAAAAAACAGAACUGGCUAUAAAAUGAAAUUAUAAGAAAAUAACAAUGAAGAACCAAACCCUGGGGAGAGGGUUAACUCCCCUCCUCUGCUGUCAGCCGGAUUCACCAAGGUUGGAUUGUAAGUAGCCUCUCGAGGAGACUGACUACUCCCUGUUGAAAUGUAAACACUCUGUGCCAGGCUCUUAAGGCCAGAGAUGCAACAGAUACCUGUGAAAAGAGUCCUUUCUUCUUAGACUUUGUAACUUUCUGAAUCUGUAGGAAUGUAGCUGCAUCACUUAGUUGCUAGGCCAAUUAACUGCUAUCUGAACCAUAACUUCCUAGGCUAUAGUUCUUAGAACUACAGCUCGUAGGGAGGUAAACUCAAGUCACCUUGAGUCACUGGUGCCUGUGGUGAAGGCCAUUUCCUGGUGACACUGCAAGUGUGAGCUACUUAUCAUGAAAUUCCUGUACAUGGUCCUUGGUUCUGUAGGCCAAGAAUUCACCCCCCCUCACCCGAUGUUGUUAAGAGAAAUGAUGUCAAAUAUACUGCAAAAGCUCCAUGUGACCUCAGCUCUGGGGCCCAGAACUUCAGAGCACUAGCUCCCUUGGGUCAGGGUUAGCAGAGCCUGGUCUCUUGCUGAGCACGAUUUCCAUAACAUUUACAGCCUUCAACUCAAGAGGAGCCAAGAAAACAACUCCGACAGUUUCAGAAUCUACCUAAGACAUAGAGAGAUUAGGUAUUUGGCCAAAUCUUCCAUAACUGUAUUGCUUUCCCCCAUGGCCUGAUUGCUCAGAAUACAAAGCUAAAUUGUCAAUAAUUCAAUAAUUUGAAGCUCGUUUUUUUUCCAUGCUACACGACAUGCACUUUUGCCUGUAUGUAUUAAGCUUUCCUUUCAGGAUUCCGUGAGCACUUACUGUCAUGCUUGUGAAUCAUCUGUGUGUGACAGUCAUCGCACACAGCCCGUAGUGAAGGCAGCCACGGGUAAAACUAAUAUUCUCCAUUGAAUUAUGUCCUGGGGGGUGUGAGACAAUGGGCAUCUCCUGAACAUGUUGCAGAAACACCUGGCGGACUUGUUAACCCUAGGGCCGAGUUUCUCACUCAGUAGGCCUCAGGGAGAGCUUGAGAAUCUGCAUUGGUAACAGAUUCCCAGCAGAUGCAGACGCAAAGAGUUCAGGGACCACACUUUGAAAAGCCAAGGCAUAGGAAUAAGGCUUGGUGGCUGCCAUUGAUGCUACGAGAGAUAAAACCAGGCGGUAACAAAGAAAGUGUUCAUCUCCACACAUGGGCUGACAGUUUUGCAAACUAAUUGAGGGGUUCACGCUGGCUCUUUCACCCCCUAGGCCUAAAUUAUAUGGAAAAUAUAAAGGCCAUGUCUAACAAUGGAUUGAUUAGCUGAUCAAUGAACUAACUUAUGAGCCUUUCAUUGACUUUAAAAAAUCAUAAUUGUGAUGAGUCCUGUUCAACACAAUGUGAACAAAAGUUUGGAACAAUAAAUGUUUCACAUAUUUACCAUGUAAAGUGACACUGAAUGCCCACUCUUGAUGAGCUAGGGGCAUCACCUGGAGUCAUCCUGACAGUCAUCCUCAUUCAGAGUGUGAGGGACCAGAUGGUGGGUCAUUUCUAAAACUAGGGUGGAUAAUGGGACCUUGUGGAGUGGGAUGUAAGCUCCUCAGUUAGAAAUUACCUUGAUUAUUUCCCCCAGAGUAUGCCAGACAAGUAGGUUGGUUUAAUUAAUUAAUUAAUUAAUUUAGGUACCAGCUAUUGAACCCAGGGCCACUUAACCACUAGCCAUAUACCCAGCCCUUUUUAAAUUUUAUUUAGAGACAGAAUCUGUCUCUAAAUAAAAUUUAAAAGUUGCUUAGCACCUUGCUACACUGGCUUUGAACUCAUGAUCCCCCUGCCUCAUCCUCCAGAGCCGCUGGGAUUACAGGAGACAUGUAGGUUUAUUCAAUGAAAAUCAGAGGCACAGAUCACCAGAGACAAAGACUUGUAAUGAAUGUGUAGGGGCUGAUGAUAGUGUCCCAAGCCACUGUGUCCCCACAGUGCUUCAGGAUGUGUGGAGCCCAUCAUUGCUUCUGUGGAUCAACCCCAUCAAACAACUUGUGCAAUUUCACGGAUAUAUCAUGUACUGAAUGUCGACAUCAGCAAGUCAUUAUUAUGUGCAUUCAGUUGUAUUUCCAGGCUUUAUUGAGGUUGCAUUAUCCUCUCCCUCAAAGAGCAAGAUGUGGCCAACUCUAUCCUUUCAAACACAGGCACACCACAUCAUUCUCCUCAAAGUCCCAGCCCAUCCAGGAAAUACUCCUAGAUACAUCUCAAGGACAAAGAUGUCCUCAUCUUGUCUCCCAGAGAUUCAAACUUUGGCUAAGUGCAGUCUGAACACGUUACCAUGCUACAUAGUAAAAAACAAAAUAGUCUUGUGCCAUGGCACACACCUGUAAUUCCAGUGGCUAGGGAGGCUGCUGAGACAGGAGGAUCACGAUUUCAAAGGCAGCCUUAGCAAUGCUGAGGUGCUAAGCAACUCAGUGAGACCUUGUCAUUAAAUAAUAUACAGAAUAGGGCUGGGGAUGUGGCUCAGUGGUGGAGUACCUCUAAAUUCAAUCCCUGAUACUGCCCCAAUAAAACAAAAACAAACAGAUGCUUCCUAAGAUUUGACUUUGUAAAUAUUUCAUUCCUCCUUGGAAAAGCAAGCUAGAUAAUCCAUGCAACGUGUUGAUUGCAAUACUUCUUGGUUCACGGUAGGCAGUCAAGAAAGCAUAGCUAUCAUGACUUUAGUCAGAUUUGAGUAUCCCAAGGCAUAGAUCAGCACUCCAUACUUCUGAUCAAGUACCUGGAAGGCAGUGAGUGCCUAGCUGGGAGUGUUAAUUAUUUAUUUUCCCGUGUACAACCUACCAGGGGUUGUCAACCUGAUUCCUAUCCUAAUUGGACUAAAAAAACAAUUUUUUUCUACCAUUUUCCAUUGGUGAUUCUCUCAGGGUUGAAAAGGAGAGCUAACUAUUCCCCAUCCUGUUAUUGCAUCACCACAUUGACACUGUGUAAUUCUUCUAGCUUAAUGUAUAGAUCCCCCAUGAAAUCUUAAUCCAGCUUUAGGAGCAGGGUUGAGUCUAUGCAGAAUGAUCAAGAAGCAGAUGGAAUUCACUUUCACUCCCCUCUCCUACCCCCAGGACUCAGCCCUCUCUCUCCUCCCAACUCUUCCAUUUGUUCUGAACUCUCAAUGUCUUUUUCCUCUAUUCAUUUCCAUCCCAUCCAUUCCAUAACUAUUGAUUGGGAGUCUCCACGGCAUUACCCAGGGCGCUCUGCUAGACACUGCAAUUAAAAAAUAAACAAGGCUCCAUCCAUCCUCCCAGUUAAAGGCUUUCUUUAAGCAGUUAUGAAGAUAUCACAGGCAGGGACAGUAGCAUUUUUGUGGACCCCCACCCCCAUAGCACAGUAGUGACAGGAAUUCAGCUCAGCGAGUUAAAUGCUGUUAACAAUAUCCUCUUUUGUAUCUUAUUUUGACUCAUUGUUCAGAAAAAUAUGUUUUAUGAACUAUGUAAUAAAAACGUCCUGAGAGCCUGCCUUGUUAGCAAAUUCUCUGAAAAGCUCUUCCUAUGCAUUUACUAAAUUAGUCUGUUUUCUGCCGUCCUUUGUUCCCAUCGGAUAUAUUUUAAGAACUCCUUCCUCC